rnacentral:rRNA from 1 species
GAUGAACGCUGGCGGCGUGCUUAACACAUGCAAGUCGAACGGAAAGGCCUUGCUUUUGUGGGGUGCUCGAGUGGCGAACGGGUGUGUAACACGCGAGUAUCCUGCCCCUGACUUUGGGAUAACCUCAGGAAACUGGGGCUAAUACCGGAUAGGAGCUCCUGCUGCAUGGUGGGGGUUGGAAAGUUUCGGCGGUUGGGUAUGGACUCGCGGCUUAUUAGCUUGUUGGUGGGGUAGUGUCUUACCAAGGCUUUGACGGGUAGCCGGCCUGAGAGGGUGACCGGCGACAUUGAGACUGCGAGACGGCCCAGACUCCUACGGGGGGCAGGGGUAGGGAAAGUUGCACAAUGGGCGGAAGCCUGCUGCAGCGUCGCCGCGUGCGGGAUGACGGCCAUAUGGGUGUAAACCGCUUUCGCCUGUGACGAAGCGUGAGUGACGGUAAUGAGUAAAGAAGCACCGCCUGACUACGUG